ncrna:unclassified sequences L13-Bacteroidia ribosomal protein leader
GGGGAGAGUCUUAGGCUCCCCAGCACGGGAGUGUUAAUAGCGGUGUCUUUGGCCAGGCAUCGUGGUUAGUGAAUC